rnacentral:tRNA from 1 species
GCCGGCAGACCUUCCGAUUCCAAAUCAUGGCAAGCCUUGCACUGCCUGACUUGUAAGCGGUAGGUCCCCAGUUCGAAUCCGGGUGCCGGCACCA